AUCCGUUGCUCGUAUGGACGAUCGGAGACCGCGGUUGCGUUCAUCUCGUCGAGACGAACCCAUUUUGCUAUUCAUAUGUCCAUUCCGGGCACUUUGUGACCCGUAGCAAGCCCAAUAAAUUUAGACCGUUCGUUGUUUUAAAAAAAAUAAAAUGAAAAAAAAGAGGAUAAGUACUGGAGACCGAUCCAUCCAGAGCAUUCGAGCACCGUGACUCUCUCUCUCUCUCUCGCGCGAACUCUCUCUCUCUCUCUCCCGCGCUGCCGAGCUCGCCGGCCUGCCGGUCGCCGCCGAGCCCCUGCUCGCGCCGCUGCCGCGCUCGCCGCCGUGCUCCGCUGCUGCGUGCGCCGGGCCGCCGCUGCCGCGCCUGCAUGCCGCUGCCGCGCGCCGUCGUGCUGCCGUGCAAGCAAGUGAGCCGGCCGCUGUUGCCUCUGUGCUAGCAUCUGAGAGAAGCAAGCAGGCAAGCCAACAGCCGGCCGAGCAAGGAAGCCAGGAAGAAAAGGAAAGAGAAAAGAAAGGAAAAGAAGAAGAAAAAAAAGGGAAGAAAAAAAAGAGAAAAGAAAAAAAGGGAAAGUUGGAAAUUUCGGAAUUUCGUCGGAUUGUCGUCAAUCUUUCGAAGGCGAUUUCUCGGUGGUACUAUUUCCGGACGUUCUUGAUCGAAUUUUCUUCAUCGUCGGUAAAGGCAAGUGAAUGUAUUGUAUGACUAUGCUUUAACCUAAUAUUGGGUUGCCUAUAUUCUUUAAUUACAGUGCAUUCAUCUAAUCUGAAUGACUGAUUCUGGGCUGAGUACUAUGUUGUUUACGUUUCCAGAAGUUUACUCGAUGAUUGAUUUAUGAAGUGCAGUAGGCACGAUAUGCCAUUCUGCAGUUGUUCAUUAGUGUUGUAUGCAAUGUUUUUUUUUGAAGUCUCAAGCAUAUUCCGGAAGUUAUGUUGGUUAUGCUUGAAGCACGUCAUACAUAUAUGUCUCAUGCAUUGGAAGUUUGUCGUCGUCUUCUGACCACGACCGUACCGGUACAGUACCGUAUGUCACCCGAGGAGGGGUACGGUGCACACCCUUACGUUACCCGAGGAGGGGUAAGGGUGAGAAGAGCAUGUCAUGUGCAUGGUUAUGUCUUCUUGUGAAAUUCAAUGAAUUAUUCAUAUCAAAUCUCAUUUCCUUUAAUUAGCAUGUAUAUAGAUAUAUAUGCGGCUCUGAAGGCUUAUACCAACCGAAUGUUAAAAUGUUUAAUGUUAUCGUUGGAUUUGCUUAGUCAUAACUGUUUCUCCUGGUGUUGGCGGUCUGUUUCAUUACUAGUUUCUAUUUAGAAUUGUUAGCAUAUUCAACUGUGGCUAAAUAGCUUUUUGUUAAAGUACCUUUCACUUGCUGAGAUUUUCGAAUCUCACCCGUGUUUUCUUUACAGGUAUGUUUAGAUGUUGACGUACAUUUUGGGGAUGGAUCUCGGUAGCUGCACACACUAACUUAUCACGAUGUCGAUAGCUCAACCGGUGUAUACAAGUGGUGUGUCUGAUGGUCCGUCGUUUGUUUUUGUUUAUGUUGUGGUUCGACGCUGGUAGCGUCAUGGCGGACUCUAUAUAUAUGCUGGUUAUAUCU